rnacentral:lncRNA from 1 species
AGAAUGCUCAGAACUUCCAAUGCUAUGUUGAAUAGGAGUGAUGAGAGAGAGCAUCCUUGUCUUGUGCUGGUUUUCAAGAAGAAUGCAUCUAGAUUUUGCCCAUUCAGUAUGAUACUGGCUGUGGGUUUGUCAUAUAUGACUAAUAUUUUGAGUAUUGCCAAGUCCUGGACCAGUUUGUGUACAGGUCUCUGGCCAACUGUGUCACCUCUUCUGCAUUUCACCUGCACCGUCAAAUGCGGAGGACUGGAGGCACUGAGAGACUGAUGCAAACUCUGGAGAGAAACUGAGACUCCUAAAGGUACUGUUUACCACAAUGAACACACUUUUAUCAUGUCAACAACUUCCAUCUCUACAUUGCCCUGUGUAAGAAUAUACUGGGAGCUGAUAUAACCUCAAUGAUGGUAAAACAGGAUGUAGAAUCCAGAAAACAUUCCUGAAAUGGACCAAACAUCAAUAUUCUGAAACAGAAGUGGAAAUGAAACUGAAACAGAAAAAGUGAAUUGGGUAAUAAAUAUACUAAAGAACAAUUUUUCUAAUAGUUGGCAGAAGGUGGUAAGGUAAGUUCAAAAAGUUCAUCUGUGAGUAAAGGCACAUUAUUGUGAGGUGGCUUUCUUAACAGAUUCAGGAAUCUUUAUUCAGAAUCUUCAUACACUGUGUUUGUGCAUGCUAUGAAAUCCUAGUGGUAGAAAUAUAUUUUAGGGUUGGGAUCUAAGUUAAACAGUGGUAGAAUGGAUUUGACAUAUUCACGUGAUUGGCUUUGUCAGAAAUGUGUCUGAAAACUUGCCAGACCAAUCGCGUCAGUGUCAUUUGCAAUAAUCCAGAUGACAGAGUAUGUCAGUGAAAUAUUUCCCCAGAAUGUGGGAGCAUCAUCAGCUGUCUCAGUGUAGGCUAUUUUUACUAUAGGAAGUGAAAAUGUUUAUCUUCCAUCUUGUAAUACAGAAAGGCAAACUGUAUUGUCAUAAUAUAAAUACUCAGUGGCCAUGAAUUUUGAGACUAUGAGAAGAAACAAUAGAAUAUAAGAUUCUAAUAUGGCUAUUUAUGAAAAAAAAAUAGAGAAGAUAAAUCAGAGUUGAAGCAUUCAAUUAUGCAAAUGAGCAAGAGAAGUUUGCUCAUAACAGAGAGACAGCAAGUUAUAAUAUAAAGACCAUCGGGGCUGGGCGCGGUAGCUCACGCCUGUAAUCCCGACACUUUGGGAGGCCGAGGCUGGUGGAUCACGAGGUCAGGAGAUCGAGACCAGCCUGGCCAAUAUGGUGAAACCCUGUCUCCACUAAAAAUACAAAAAAAAAAAAAAUUAGCCGGGCAUGGUGGUGGGCACCUGUAAUCCCAGCUACUCUGGAGGCUGAGGCAGAGAACUGCUUAAACCCGGGAGGCGGAGGAUGCAGUGAGCCGAGAUCAUGCCAAGAGCUAAACUCUGU